rnacentral:rRNA from 1 species
UACGAAGGGGGCUAGCGUUGUUCGGAAUUACUGGGCGUAAAGCGCGUGUAGGCGGGUCUUUAAGUCAGGGGUGAAAUGCCAGGGCUCAACCUUGGAACUGCCUUUGAUACUGGAGACCUUGAGUCCGGGAGAGGUGAGUGGAAUUGCGAGUGUAGAGGUGAAAUUCGUAGAUAUUCGCAAGAACACCAGUGGCGAAGGCGGCUCACUGGCCCGGUACUGACGCUGGGGCACGAAAGCGUGGGGAGCAAACAGG